CAACAAUGGUGCGCGAUGCAUACAUGUCAAUUGAAACAUAACUGCAAGAACUGAGAAGGUGCUUACGGUCGUUUGUGGCGAUAUUUUAACACAAUGGAUGUCGUCUGAGGCCGCGGCGAGUGUUUGGAGACAAUAUACUGCCAUGUAGAAACGCAUGGCGAGCCAUACGGCGGAACAGACAUAGGUGAACACGUACGUCAAGAUACACGAGCCUGUAUCCUGCAAUCUGCUUCGCGAGAAGAUAAUCUUCGACAGUGAUUAAGCAAUUAAGCUGUUUCAACAUGGGGUUCUUUCACCAACUAAAGCUAUUAUUAUGGAAGAAUUUCACUCUGAAGAUUCGGAGGCCGUUUGUGCUGCUGUUCGAGUUGUUCAUUCCUUUGGUGCUGUUUGUCAUCCUGCUUAUGAUCCGAAAGAAACUUCCAGCCAAUCCACAAGGCACAUCUCACUUCCGCACCAUGCCUCUCCCGUCCUCCGGCCUGGUCUCCAUCAUGCAGAUGUUCUGUGAGAAUGGACACACGGAUGAACACGGCUUCUUGGACUUCCCCAGCUCGAGCUCCACCACGUCCGUCCUUAAACGGCUACAGGUGUUGGCAGAGAAUCGCAAUUUCUUCGACCCAGGUUUCACUCCUGAAGAAAUGAACCAGAUACCAGACCUGUACAAGAGCAUCAUAGAUGACCCAGCAUUUCUACAUGACCAGUUUAAAAAUGCCUCUGAUUUUGAGAUCUCCCAGGUGCUCCCCAGCGUCAAGGGUCUGGUAUCAUUCCUCCACAAUAACCUCUCUCUGCCCAAAGAGGAUAUCGACACACUGCUAAACUCAACCGUUCACGUCCAGGGAGUGUACAAGUACCUGUUCGGAGAUGACAUGGUGUACAUGCAGGACACCUUGAACCGCCAGAAACGGAGCGCCGACGCAGGACCAAUGCAAGACAUUCUCCAGUCACUGUCUGGAGAAACGGGUGGCUUGAGACUUCCCUGGAAAGACACUGGACAGGGAAUACUGAAGAAGGGAGUUGAAGGCAUUGUUGAAGACAUCCUGGAGAGGUCUGCCAGUGGCAAUAUUGAUAAUCUGGAGACGCAGAUAUUUGAGAAGAUAAUGAGUAACCCUAAGCUCCUGGAGGGUCAGAACAUGGCAGUGGUGAUCGAGGCGUUGAUCAGUAUUGUCGAACGUCUCAACACGUCCUUCAUCGUUAGCCCUGAUCAGAUGGCCCAGCUGCUGAAGAUGGAGGUCUUCUCACCCUCGUCCUUGAGAAAACUGUCAUGUGACCCUACACUGCUUGUAAACCUCUUCAUUCCUGAGACCCACAACGAGUCACUGAUUCACCUCCAGAAGGACCUGUGCAACAUGACGUCUGCUCAGUUCCAGGACUUGUCAGCCUACCUGCGCAGUUCCGUCACAGACCAGGAUAUUGUCAACAUGUUGAACCUGAAGCCAGUGAACCUGACUUCCACAGCGUACAAGAUUUCCAACUUCAUCACCAAAGUGAACAAGUUCGUCCAGUUCCACACAGAGCUGGAGAUGCUGGCUAAGCUGGUGGAAAUGAUCCCACAGGAUGCCUUCGACAUUGACAACACAACUGACGCCCACCAAGGCGGGAACGAAACAACACCAGCUGCAGGCAACACCACUGAUACAACGCCAACCAAGAUCCCCACAGUGAAACCAAAGGCCCAGCAUCCCCAAGGCCUCCUCAAGCUGUGGUCCUUCAUGCAGCAGACUGUGUGCGGCACUCCGCCCCCAACAAUCCCCACAGACAAGGACGGCAACCCUGAACACCGCUCUGGUCUCGACGCCCUCAGCCUGUCAUCCCGGCAACACAGGAUGCUGGGAAUCCUACUGCAUGUCCUGUACAGCAACCCCAAGGUCCUCUAUGCCCCGGCCAACACCUCUGCUGACGACGUCAUGAUUCAGGCAAAUGCUUCGUUUGCAUUCAUUGACUUGAUCAGUGACUACGCGCGGACUUGGCUGAACGUGUCUGUGGAGCUGAAGGAAUACCUGGAGGAGCCUCAGACAGCCCACAACUUGGACUCCAUCAGAGAGAUGCAGCAUGAGCUGAAAGAACACCGUGGCAUGCUGGGAUGGAUGUUCCAGAUCCCGCAGUUGUCUCCCUUCCUUAACGAGACGGUGCCCACCAGCAAGGAGUACCUGCACUCUAUCCAGGUCAUCAGCAAGGCUGCUCACAGCUGGCUCACUCUGAUGGAUGGCAUCAGUCUCAACGUGUUCCAGGGAUUCGACAACGAGACAGCCAUGGUCCAGUACUUCCUUAAUGAAGCUUACCAUGAUAAUGUCAGUGUGUUGGCAGGUGUUGUAUUCGAGAACAUAGGAGCAGACGGCUCCCUUCCUCCGCACAUCCGCUACAAGAUCCGCCAGAACGCGACCUUCACCCCAACCACGAAGUUUGUCCGCAAGCAGACGUGGUACCCAGGCCCUGGCCCAAGCAGUCACCCAUACUACGAGUUCGGCUUCGUCUGGAUCCAGGACAUUGUGGAGAGAGCCAUCAUCGAUGUCCAGGUUGAGCGUGAUGUGGUAGAGCCAGGGACCUACGCUCAACAGUUCCCCUACCCCUGCUUCAUGUAUGACCAGUUUGUCUUCAUGAUUGAGCAUGUGAUGCCCCUGUGCCUGACUAUAUCCUGGGUGUAUUCCGUGGCCAUGUUGGUGCAGAGCAUUGUGUAUGAGAAGGAGCAGCGGCUGAAAGAGGUGAUGAAGAUGAUGGGUAUGAACAAUGCUGUCCAUUGGUGUGCAUGGUUCUUGACGACGUUCCUGCAGAUGAGCAUCACAGUGGGGGUCCUCACCGCCAUGUUUAAGUAUGGGCGUGUUCUCGCCCACAGUGAUCCCCUCGUGGUGUUUAUGCUGCUGGAGGUCUAUGUCAUAGCCACUAUAUCGUUAUGUUUCCUGAUCAGUGUGUUGUACUCCAAGGCUAAGGUGGCCGCUGCAUGUGCCGGCAUCAUCUACUUCCUGUCUUACGUCCCCUACAUGUACGUGGCCAUCAAGGAGGACAUUGCCGGCGACCGCAUCCCGGGCUAUGUCAAGUCCCUUGUGUCCCUCUCCUCUACCACAGCGUUCGGCCUGGGGGCCAAGUACUUCGCGUACUAUGAGGAGAUGGGGGUAGGGGUACAGUGGGACAACAUCUACAGGUCCCCAGUGGAGGAUGAUGAGUACACCCUCUUCAUGGUCAUCCUCAUGAUCAUCCUCGACUCCUUCCUGUACGGACUCCUCGUCUGGUACAUCGAGCAUGUCUUCCCAGGAUCGUAUGGUCUCUCCAAGCCGUGGUACUUCCCCUUCACCAAGUCCUACUGGUGCGGCAGCCACGUCAAACACACCGACGACUGCACCAGUGUCCUAGACCUGUGUCGUCGUGGCAACGGUAGCCAUGUGUCUGUCACGGAGGAGGACCAGGCGUGCGCUAUGGCACAGCAGAGUGCUGACCAAAGUAUCAUGUUUGAGCAGGACCCCAUCCACUUACCUGAAGGAGUGUGUAUAGACAAUCUCACCAAGGUAUACAAGCUUGGCAAGAAGACUGCAAUCAAGAACUUGUCCUUGAAUUUCUAUGAAGGUCAGAUAACAUCUUUCCUUGGACACAACGGUGCAGGGAAGACCACCACGAUGUCCAUCCUGACCGGCCUCAUUCCCCCAACAUCGGGAUACGCAACAAUAUAUGGCCUUGACAUUCGCAGCGACAUGGACGUCAUCAGACAGAGUCUGGGCAUGUGUCCUCAACACAAUGUGUUGUUUGACAAACUGACGGUGGAGGAGCACCUGUGGUUCUAUGCUCAACUGAAGGGCAUGAAGUCUCCGGAUAUCAAGAUAGAACUGGACAGAAUGAUUAAGGACCUUGACCUGCCCAACAAGCGCCACACAGUGGUAGAUUCCUUGUCAGGAGGAAUGCAGAGGAAGUUGUCUGUCGCCAUUGCCUUCGUGGGAGGGUCAAGGACAGUGAUACUGGACGAACCCACUGCAGGGAUUGACCCCUACGCCAGAAGGGCCAUCUGGGAACUCCUGAUGCAGUAUAAAGAAGGUCGCACCAUCAUCCUGUCCACACACCACAUGGAUGAGGCAGACAUCCUUGGUGACAGGGUGGCCAUCAUCAACAAUGGCCAGCUCAAGUGCUGUGGGUCAUCCAUCUUCCUGAAGAACAGCAUAGGGGAGGGCUACCAUCUGACCGUCGUCAAGGAGGAACCAACUGAGGACAACCAAGAUGCAGACACAUCAUGUGAUGAACUAGAAGUCGAAAAUACUCAUCACCAGCCACCCAAGCUUGUCUCCCCUUGUAAGGAGGCGAAGGUCACAGAAUUCAUCCAGAAAUAUGUGCCAACGGUGUACUUGGUGUCCGAGUCCAAGCGGGAACUACACUACAUUCUGCCAUUUGAGGAAGCCAAGAAGAAGAGCUUUGAAAAGCUGUUUCAGGCCAUGGAUUCCGACAUGGACAAUGUCCACAUCAUCAGCUAUGGUGUGAAGGAUACGACCUUGGAAGAGGUUUUCUUGAAGGUCACAGAAGCUGGCUAUCAGGAAGAAGAAAGUCGUGAGGAUGAACCUGCUAAACCUCUGGAGACUUUAUCUUCCGACCCAUCUGGCCUGCCUGAAGAUCUCCCAAGGUCCAAUCUAGCCAGUCAAAACGCAGCAUCUUUGUCUGACCUGCUGGACGUGGCAGAUGACAGCCAAUCAGAAGCAGCAAUGGGUGCAACAGGCAUCACCAACCCUGCAGCAGAUGUCCUUGAACUUGGUGAUAUUGCUGCAGGAGGGGAAGAGGAGCCGGCACAGAGCAGACGGCCAGAACAUCCAUCUGUGAGGAACAUUGGGGUCUACAAUGCUCCAGAAGAUGAACCAAAGAUCUUGCUUGAAGGUCGUGGAAGUCAUAUCUUGAAUAAAAAGCUGCUGCUCUUCAACCACUUCCGUGCCGUCAUCGUCAAACGAUUCCACUACAUCACUCGCAACUGGAGGAGCUUGUUCUCGCAGAUCAUCCUCCCUGCCAUCUUUGUUGCCAUAGCAAUGACAGUAGCUCUAGCAGCGCCAUCUGUGGAUGACUUACCUCCCCUUGUACUCAGCCCAUCUCAGUAUUUCAAUGUCACUCAGCCCAAAGGCAACUUUAUUCCCUUCACAAAUGAACGUAUGAUACGAAGAUCAGAAAUACCUAGCCAGGACGCUGAUGCGGAGAAAUUAAUCCGGACACUCUUCCUCCCAUCUGGGGUGGGUGCCACAUGUGUGCUGCAGAAACCGUUUAAUAGCUCCUUUGAUGUGGACAUGUUGAAGAGGUUGAACUACACCCAGAAGACGUACGAGCUCCUGUCCCGGUACUAUGAGCCUGAGUGUAGGAGAGUGUUCGCUCCGGGGAUUCACCUGGACAGCUACAUCCCCCCAGAAGCUCCAGUGCAGCCUAAGGUUGACUUGGCCUCCGAGGAUGACAACAGCACUGUAGAUUUCCCUAUAGACCCCAGCUACUCAACAACCCACUUCUACCCCCACUGCGUGUGUCGGGGAGACAAGACUGGCUUCAAGUGCAACAAGAACCAUGCUGAGGCACCCAAGUUCCGGGUCGUCACCCAGGACAUUCUCCAGAACAUCACAGGACAGAGGACAGAGGACUUCAUACUGUAUACAACACAGGACUACAGACUUCACAGAUAUGGAGUUCUGUCUUUUGGUCUGGAGCAGCGCUAUGUACCAGAGAACUUUGGCAGAUCGGCACCCACGCUGUUCAGGAAGCUGGCAGUCCGCAGUGCCGCCAAGCUGUGGUUCAACAACAAGGGCUACCACUCCAUGGCCGUCUACCUAAACACCAUCAACAACGCAAUACUGAGAGCCAACCUGCCUAAAAGCAAGGGCAACCCUGCAGCUUUUGGCAUUACAGCCAUCAACCACCCCUGGAAUGACACCAAUAAUGAGAUGUCUACGGUCAACUAUAUGAUGGAGGGGUCCGACGUCCUGAUCGCCAUCUUCAUUAUUGUGGCCAUGUCCUUUGUGCCGGCUAGUUUUGUGGUGUUCCUGGUGUAUGAGAAGUCCACCAAGGCCAAACAUCUCCAGUUUGUCACCGGGAUCAACCCUGUCAUGUACUGGCUCGGGAACUAUGUCUGGGAUAUGGCCAACUACACAAUCCCUGCCUUCAUGUGUGUGAUGGUGCUGCUGAUAUUCCAAAUACCUGCGUAUGUGUCGACCAGCAACCUCCCUGCUGUCGUGGCUCUCUUCCUCAUGUAUGGAUGGUCGAUAACGCCUGUCAUGUACCCCGCGUCCUUCCUGUUCAACGAACCCAGUACUGCCUAUAUCUGCUUGAUAGUCAUCAACCUCUUCACUGGCAUCACAUGCAUUGUGUCCAGCUUCCUCCUUGAGCUCUUCUCCUACGACAAGGAUCUCAACAAGGUCCAUGACAUCCUGAAGAUUAUCUUCAUGAUGUUCCCCAACUACUGCCUGGGCCGGGGCCUCAUGGACUUGGCCUUCAAUGAGUACAAGAACGAGUUCUACUUUAAGACUGGUCAGUACGACAUGAUGAAGUCCCCCAUGGAGUGGAGCAUCAUUCCAGUACAUCUGGUUGCCAUGACAGUCAUUGGACUCAUAGCCUUCCUCAUUACAAUACUCUGUGAAUACAAGUUCUUCAUACCUGCCAGAUAUGUGAAAGUGCCCAACUCCACAAAUGUUGACGAAGACGUUGAUGUAGCUGCAGAGAGGAAGCGGGUGCUGAAGGGGACAGGCCGUUACGACAUGCUUCGACUGGAAAAUCUCACCAAGGUGUACAAGACUGCCAAACUAGGGCGCCACCUGGCUGUCGACAAGCUGUGUCUGGGAGUGCCACCUGGUGAGUGUUUCGGCCUGCUUGGAGUGAAUGGCGCUGGUAAGACAACAACCUUCAAGAUGCUGACUGGUGACCUUCGACCUACAUCUGGUUGUGCCUAUCUUAAUGGUCAUAGUGUGAUCAAGGAGCUGAACAAGGUGCAACAGAGUAUUGGCUACUGCCCCCAGUUUGACUCCCUCUACGAUGAGCUCACUGCCAGGGAACAUCUACAGUUCUACUGCAGACUCAGAGGAGUCUCGCCUAAAGAUGAGAAACAGGUUGUGAACUGGGCCCUGUCCAAGUUGGGGCUGAGCAAGUAUGCAGACAAGCUAUCCGGCACAUACAGUGGGGGCAACAAGCGGAAGCUGUCCACAGCAAUAGCUCUCAUUGGACAUCCUCAGGUUAUAUUCAUGGAUGAACCAACUACUGGUAUGGACCCUCACUCACGUCGCUUUUUGUGGGAUCUCAUUUUGAGCCUCAUCCAAGAUGGCCGCUCUGUUAUCUUAACCUCACACAGCAUGGAGGAGUGUGAGGUUCUCUGUACACGUCUUGCCAUCAUGGUCAACGGUCACUUCAAGUGUCUCGGAAGCAUUCAGCAUCUCAAAAACAAAUAUGGGGAUGGAUACACCUUCAGCUUCCGAUUGAAAGGACCAAAUUACGAACAGGCCAGUCGAGGGGUUGUACGAUUUGUGGAGAGAAAUAUACCAGCAGCAACGCUCAAGGAGCAGCACUUCAACCUGCUCCAGUAUGAGCUGCAGUCAGAGAGUGUGUCCCUGGCCCACCUCUUCUCCACCCUGGAGCUGGCCCAGCAAGACCUGCAUAUAGAGGACUACUCCGUCAGCCAGAACACCCUGGAUAAUGUGUUCAUCAACUUCGUGAAACAGCAGAUGGAGAUUGUGCAAGAAGACGACACAAAAACUCGCCAGAGGUCAAGAACGAGAGCAAGGUCACAGGCUGCAGCAGAAGAUGAUGUGGAGCCUCUCCUGUUGUCUGAAGACGAUGGUGGACUGUUGCAUGAUGAUGACGAUGAUCUCAUUUUACGUCUGGAUCAGUCCAAUGGGACUCGUCUGACUAUACUUACCCUCUAAUCUUCUGCAACUGCUGAUCUCAAACAUAAGCAUUUUGUGAUCUUGUCUCUCAUGAAAGGCUUCCUGCUGAAGGUUCUAUUAUAAAGAGGUCAUGACGGACUCCAUAUUUCCACUGAAGGUUCUGCUAUAAGAGGUCAUGACGGACUCCAUAUUUCCACUGAAGGUUCUGCUAUAAAAGGUCAUGAUGGACUCCAUAUUUCCGCUGAAGGUUCUGCUAUAAAAGGUCAUGAUGGACUCCAUAUUUCCAGUGAAGGUUCUGCUAUAAAAGGUCAUGACGGACUCCAUAUUUCCACUGAAGGUCCUGCUAUAAAAGGUCAUGGCAGACUCCAUGUUUCAGCUGAAGGUUCUGCUAUAAGAGGUCAUGGCAGACUCCAUGUUUCAGCUGAAGGUUCUGCUAUAAGAGGUCAUGGCAGACUCCAUGUUUCAGCUGAAGGUUCUGCUAUAAGAGGUCAUGGCAGACUCCAUGUUUCAGCUGAAGGUUCUGCUAUUAGAGGUCAUGACAGACUCCAUGUUUCAGCUGAAGGUUCUACCAUUAGCCAUUUCAUGUCAUUCUAGAGGAUGGAAGAGUAGGAAUCCCAGUGCAAAACAAAAGAAGAUGCAUUCAUUGUAUAAAAUAUCUGAAGACUGAAGCUGUGCUAUGUUUCCAGUUGCAUUUGUGCCAGAUGUUUUCACUGCUAAAGUAUAUAUAUUUUCAUGCAAUAACAGAGGAUUAGAAGUGAAAACUUGUCAUCUUCAGACGUUUAUUUUAAGCUGAAAAUUGUGUCUUCCCCUUAAACAGUGUCAUGUUAUUAGAUGUAGGACUUGUGCUUAAUGGUAAAGAUAUUUAUCAUGCAAACUGGCCUCCACAGGAGAUACUGCUUAGCUGAGAUCAAGCCAUCUCUACUUGGAGAUAUUGCUGCAAUAAAAUUGCAUCACAUAGCUUAGCAAACCGUUGCAACGUCACCAGUUACCAUGGCAUGAUGUCACAGUCAAUGCCAUCACUUACCUCUCUGCUUCUGAAGCUGGAUAAGAUUGCUUAUUACAGUUAAAAUGAAAGAAGAAUGAUAUUGGAUCACCCUUGUGUCUUUUGAUAUAAAAUAUCAGACUCUGGCGCAGUGGUGACUCCGCAUAACACCACUGCCACAGGCUAAUUUGCAUAUCACGUGACCAGACUUUUCUCUUUUCUCUUUACCAAUGUAAUUACGCAAAAGGAUAAUUACGCAAAACAAGUAGAUUUACACGUAUUAACAUAACAUACUUUCUUAAUGAAUCGUAACCAUUCUUUGACAUUUGUUUAUGAAAAUGUGUAGACUUGUCAAACAUGAAACGGAUGAAAAGCAGAUGCAAUAUCUUGAAUGGACUGUGAAAGAUGUGACGAAUUGUCACAUGGCGCUGGCCUGUGGCAGAGGUACUACGCUGGCUGGCUGCCGGCCGCAUGGAACUCAGGGUAGGAGAGUGGUAAAAUAUUUGAUGUUCGUUGAAUAAGUUUAAGACACCUCGGCAAGCCUCAGAGUCAAACUUGUGUAGAUAUACUUGAUAUCAAAAGACCGUGGUGAAAUUCUCUCUGUCUUAUCUUCAACUGUGUAUCUUGUAGAGAAGAUUACUUCACCGUGUAGACUGAGAAUGUAUCUCACCUUGGAACAUGAAUUUAUCUCCAAGAGGAAUAAAAUAUCUGACUAAUUACUGUGUGGGUUUGCCAUGUGGACAGCUUGUUGCUGAACCAUCAUAUUUCAACAGGACGAGGAGUGUGAAAUAUCUCCUAGUAAUUGGAGUACCUCACAACGAAUGUGAGAAUGUUUCUCUUUGCAAGUGGAAGGAAAGAUAUCCCAUUGUGGAAGAAAACGAGGAAUGUGAGAAUGAUUCUCACCAAGGAAUGAGAGAAUGUUUCUCUCUGAAGAAGGUGGGAAUAUUACCAAGGAAUUCUAUGAAAAGAUGAUACAAUUUUCAAUAUGGAAGAUUUGUCACAGGAUUUUGUUUAAAAGUACGAUAUAUCUCACCAUAUGUAUCUCAGUGAAAGAUCAUGUCCAUCUGUGACUCAUAACAGACAGUGGAAUAACAAUGUUUAGUCCAUGCCAUUAUAUACAAUUCCACUUUCCAUAAUACACAAACUGUCAUAUUACAAGGCCAAAUUUGAUUGUAUGUGUGCUGCACUGCAAAGUGGAAUUUCUUUUCAGAUAUGGGUACCAGGAAACUGAUUUUCCAAUAUUUACCCCAGUACCUUUGCUUUUUGUGUUUAAAUUGUGCUACCCAGGUGUCAGAUCUUCAUCCGGUUUAUUUCAUUGAUUUAAAAUUCCAAUACAAGUUAUUGUAGGAAUUGUGGGUGUGUAGGUUUGCCAUAUUGGAGAGAAUAUGGUUCAUUGUUUAUGCAUUUGCCAAUUUUAGAAAUGAAAACUGAUUGUUUUGACAUCAUCCAGAUGUGAGGGUCUUGAUUGGGGUGUCACAAGUUUGUUGUCAGUAAAAUUUUUGGCAGUCAUUAAAAGAACUUGAAUAGUGGAUAAGACAUGGAGUUGAAUCUAAAAUGCAAAAUCAUUUCUAUGCGAAUAUGGAUCAUCAGUGUGUCUAGGGAAACAUAGGGAGAGGGGGGUUUGCUUUCGUUUCAUUACUGCAAUUAUCAAACACUGACUGCUUUUGCUGUAUCGUUUGAUCUAGUUAUACGCAACUUUUAUGAGAUGUUGGCAUGAUUAUCACAGUAAAGUUUACAAACAAGAGCUAGUCUGUUUUUAAUUUAGAUUUUAGUUAAUCUUUUACAAUAAUAUUUGACUCAUUUAAUGUUUAUGACAAAUGUUUUUAGUUAUUUUACGCUAAACAGUAUACCCCAUCAGGACCCUCUGUUGUGCCAUCCAUUACAGACAUGUGUAAGAGAUGCUUCAUGGGAAAUUUCAAGUUAAAUUUUUUUGUUAUUGAUUUUCUACCCUGCGACAUUAUUUUUUAUGACUGACACAUUUGUUGUUUGAUCCAGACACAUUUACAGUAAUGGAAGACCAAGGUCAUAUGAGAUGACCUUGAUAAAGUGGGAGGCAAUUUCACAUUACCGCUGUCAAUUUUCACCUUUUCAUGACAAAUAUCAAUGCAAGAUGUUUAAAAUUUGAUGUAUAUAUUUCAGUCAUUGUAUGAAAAGUAAUUACAACUUUAAUCAUAAAAUGCUCAAAUUGUGAUAUGUGAUUAUUCGUAUGUUGGCAAUUGCCCAUUUAUUACGAUACUUGAAUUUUGCAUUGUUUGUAUUUCAUGCAUAUCAUUGUGGCUAUGUAAGAUUGAUCUCCAGUGUUUCCGUGUGGUGUAAUCAUCUUACUCUGUGUAAGCUCAGCUUGUGACAAAACUACGGGAAACAGGAAUCUUAAUUUCGAGACACCCUUCCAGUUCAGCUUUGUAGCUGAAGUCAUAUCAUUAAUAGAAAUGUAUCAGGUGGGUUGUCUAUAAUGACAUAUGUAUUGAAUAAAUGUAUGGGAACAUGUGGAAUAAAUGUUUAGCUUUUGAACUAAAAGAAAUUUUCCCCAGAUUUCUAAGAGCUGUUCUUAAUGUUGUUUUAGAUUGGGCCAUUAUUUUUUAUUUGUUGGAUCACAGAUUUUUGUUUGUUAUACAUGUAGUCGGAAGUCGGAGGAGGGAAUAGUAUAUUUUUUUUAAAAAGCUGACAUUAGCUUCUAUUUGUUACACUGUCUCAUGAAAUGUUUUUACAAAUAUUACUUGUUUCAGGGGAGGGGGAAAAAUAAGUAAAUAAUAAGUAAAUUAUAUCAUUAGCUCCAUUGUCUGCUUGAAGCAUUCUUUUGUCAGUUAUUCUUUGAAGACAAAGGGAGUUAGUGUAAGCAAAGUCCAUGUGUCAAGGACAAGGGACAUAACUCUUGAUUUAUCAUGCAAGGAAUUUCAUGUUCAUAGAUGAUUACUAUUAAAACAUUGAGUAAUCUCAAAAUAGUUUUGCGUGUAUGAGUUGCUCGCAGGGGGAAAAUAAGCAUAAAUUAGGCUUGUUAUGUUUAUCUAGUUUUGAAGAAAAUAGGGUUGGUUGGUUGGUUCCAUGAUCCAACAAAUAAAAAUAUAAUGGCCUUGACAUGAAUAAGUAAAAUCUCUCAUCCUGCUCCAAAUUCCCAUCCCCCCCACUGCCAUUGGAUAUGUUCACACCAAUCAAGGGUUUUCACGGUGAUAUGAAACUAAAUGAAUGUAAAAUGGAUUAUACCAUAGUUCUUACGAUUAGAAACUUGAAAUCAGUGGAACUUAAUGGCAGUUCUGGUAUUGAAGGCCAAUCCAACAAUGUGUAUGUUAUGUCAAGAUGUAAUAGGCCAAAUAAAGAUUUUAAAUACUGUUGCCAAGUAAAUUAUGCUAAAGACAAAAUAUCUAUGAAAUGUUAUUUAGAAAAAGCAUACCUUUUUUCAAACAGCAUUAAGGAAAAUAAAUUUCUUUGUUAUUGGAAAAAUUGGUGCAUGGUUAUCCACGAAUCCAGUAAGAAUUGCUCUGCAGAUAAUAACUCCUCCUUUUCAUGCCAUGUAGGGUUUGUUGGUUGUGAGAAAUGUUACGCAUGAAACUCAUUCAAGCAGAAAAUCAUGGCAGUGGUGUUAUGGGGGAAUGGCAUGGUUGUCCGCGGUGCUAAAACUGGGUGUGGUGAGAACAUGUUGAACCAUGUGGCAGUUGCAGUUUUUUCUUAAUUCUGGUUGGGUUAUUAAAAAAGGUGGUAUAAUAUUUCUCCUGUAAGUGGUAGAUGAAUGUUUUACCCCAGAUUAAAAUAAUGAGAAAGGUUCAGUUUUCUGUAUUAUCAAUAAGGGAUACAUAGAAACUUUGAUUUAAAUUCAUCUAGUUGCAGCUGAUUUCAGAUUAGUGGUAUUUUAUGCUACUAGAAUGGGGAGGAAACAAGUUGUCAUACCACAUUUUACUAGUGUCAGGACUAGUGUAAUACCCUCUCCACAGGUAACUGGUUAAUUGUGGAAUGAGGAAGAAAGGUUUAAGGUUAAAUCCUACAAGUCAUAAUUGGGAUGGAAAAACCAUCAGUUCUUCGUCUGAUAGUAACUUAGAAUCUCCCCAUGUAGAUAGGGGUAUGUAUUAUUAAUAUUAUUAUUAUUAUUAUGUGUCAUGACACCAGGGAUAAGAAUUUCUUUACUAAAAGUUAUCCAGGGAUCUUGGGGACUAUAUAAUUGAUGCAUAUAUUCUAAUGGCAUAUUCCACGAAAGUGACCCUUGGCGUACUAAAUCUGGGGAAUUUCUUGGAAAUUUCUAUUUAAUUUAAUCGAUACAUAGGUAGGUGUAUUGUGUAUCAUAGUUUCAUGUGUACAUUUGCGAUACAUCAUGACUCGUGACACUCCUAUUAAUUAUUGAUGGUAAUUUCAUCCAUAAUUGUGAUGCCGAAGGAUCAUUAAAUCCCCUUUUAUAUAUAGUGUGCCAAUGCUGAAAAAUUUUAAAGUGCUUUACCAUAAUUUAUUCCUUAGUUUUCAUAUUUUUAUGAAUUAUUGUCCAGUUUUUUUAAUGUUCAUUGAUCACAAUGUUAUCUUAUAUCAAACAAUAUUAUGAUCUAAUAUAAAAUGUUUGCUCAUAACUGUGUUUGUUAGUGUUGUUUUAUGUGUUAGAGUAGAAGGGUGAUAUUUAUAGUAUGUGUGUUGAGUUCUAUUUGGUGAGUGGGUCUUUGUUUUAUCAAGGUUGCUUCUGUUUCUUACCACGUAGUCUGUUGUGUGUUCCAUACCAUCAGAGGCAGAAUGUGAAUUAGCUGCAUGGUUAUUGUUAUCAAUUUAUUUCUUGUGAUAUGUGACACAAGACUGUUUUCUCAGUCAUGAAACUUUCAAAUUUGGCUUUUCUAGAGGGUCCUGAUUUGGGAAAGGGCUGUCACAAAUCAGUAUGAUUAGGGGCUUUAUUGUCAUGUCCUUACUUGAUUAGAGGAUCCUGAUUGGGGAUUGGGCUGUCACAAGUCAGUAUGAUUAGGGGCUUUAUUGUCAUGUCCUUACUUGAUUAAAGGGUCCUGAUUGGGGAUAGGGGUGUCACAAGUCAGUAUGAUUAGGGGCUUUAUUGUCAUGUCCUUACUUGAUUAGAGGGUCCUGAUUGGGGAUAGGGGUGUCACAAGUCUGUGUGAUUAGGGGAUUUCAGUCUGUCACCAUUAUGUUUUUGGCUUAGUGGGACAAAAGGAGGGAAUAACUGACAAGCUGUCAAGAGGUCAAAAAAAUGCUGAAAAAGUAAUUUGUCCCCAGGUUAUACUAAGAUUAAAAUUAAUUCACUGGACAUGUUGGAUGUUCUGAAAAAUAAUGUGUAUUGGUGGGUAAAUCAACUAUUGUUUGCCUCCUCUUAAAAAUCCCAGCCCUCCCCAUGCUCCAAGUAAUAAUAAAUGGUCAGUCACUUCCACAGGGUAUUUCUUCAGGUGCGUACCUGAUAGUUAACCUGGUGUCCUACACAAUCAUAAAUAUAUUAUCUCACCUCAAUGUCAGAAUGUGGAGAUCUGAUUUGUUAACGUGAUCUUGAUAAAAUACUAUGAAUCCCUCCGGGGAGGAAAAUAAAUUUCUAAGUUUGAGAAGAAGUCUCUUAUACCCCGCCAUGAAGAAGACAGGCUGCACAUGGAUUUCUGAGCAGGAGAAUAAAUCCUUUAUACACAACUCUGAAGCAAAAAGAUGCAUGUUGUUUAUGAUUCAAUGAUAGUCAUGUGACAAAGCACAAGUUAACCUCAGCUCAGUCGAACAGCUGUUUUUAUGAAUUCUCAAUUACAGUGGCAGAUUGAAACAUGUUGGUAAGAUAAAUUCCUUGUCGCAGCAUUACUCUGGGUAUUGAUCACCCCUGCACCCCUCUGUAUCCACGUAUGUAGGUGUUGGCAUCAGGACGGGAUAUAUUUCAGGUCACGAUUUGUGAUUAUCCUUGAAACCUUCUUCCCCAAUGUUUUUAUGUUUCUUGAGGACAAUGGUUAGGACUGUUCUAGUGAUAGAAUGUGAAGUGUAUGGAUGGUUUGUUUGAGCAAUAAAAUGCAAUAUGAAGAUGUGUUCUGAUUGCGCGUGAACUGCGUUUCAGUGAAAAUGUGUCUUAGUUAUAUUUAGUAGGAGAAUUUAAACAGUGUAGAUCAGCUGUGAUACAAU
rnacentral:misc_RNA from 1 species